rnacentral:rRNA from 1 species
UACGGAGGGUGCGAGCGUUGUCCGGAAUCACUGGGCGUAAAGGGUGCGUAGGCGGGUCUUUAAGUCAGGGGUGAAAUCCUGGAGCUCAACUCCAGAACUGCCUUUGAUACUGACGGUCUCGAGUCCGGGAGAGGUGAGUGGAACUGCGAGUGUAGAGGUGAAAUUCGUAGAUAUUCGCAAGAACACCAGUGGCGAAGGCGGCUCACUGGCCCGGUACUGACGCUGAGGUGCGAAAGCGUGGGGAGCAAACAGGG